rnacentral:tRNA from 1 species
AAAAGAGUAAUUUAUAUAAAAUCUUUGGUUUCAAACCAGAAAAUAAGGUUAAUCCUUCUCUUUUG